rnacentral:rRNA from 1 species
CCUACGGGGGGCCGCAGUGAGGAAUAUUGGUCAAUGGACGAGAGUCUGAACCAGCCAAGUAGCGUGAAGGAUGACUGCCCUAUGGGUUGUAAACUUCUUUUAUAUGGGAAUAAAAUGUUCCACGUGUGGGAUUUUGUAUGUACCAUAUGAAUAAGGAUCGGCUAACUCCGUGCCAGCAGCCGCGGUAAUACGGAGGAUCCGAGCGUUAUCCGGAUUUAUUGGGUUUAAAGGGAGCGUAGGUGGAUUGUUAAGUCAGUUGUGAAAGUUUGCGGCUCAACCGUAAAAUUGCAGUUGAAACUGGCAGUCUUGAGUACAGUAGAGGUGGGCGGAAUUCGUGGUGUAGCGGUGAAAUGCUUAGAUAUCACGAAGAACUCCGAUUGCGAAGGCAGUUCACUGGACUGCAACUGACACUGAGGCUCGAAAGUGUGGGUAUCAAACAGGAUUAGAUACCCUUGUAGUC